CCUACGGGAGGCAGCAGUAGGGAAUAUUGCUCAAUGGGCGAAACCCUGAAGCAGCAACGCCGCGUGGAGGAUGAAUGUUUUAGGAGUUUAAACUCCUUUUUUUAGAGAAGAUUAUGACGGUAUCUAACGAAUAAGCACCGGCUAAAUCCGUGCCAGCAGCCGCGGUAAUACGGAGGGUGCAAGCGUUACUCGGAAUCACUGGGCGUAAAGAGUGCGUAGGCGGGGUAAUAAGUCAGAUGUGAAAUCCUGUAGCUUAACUACAGAACUGCAGUUGAAACUGUUACUCUGGAGUGUGGGAGAGGUAGGUGGAAUGCUUGGUGUAGGGGUGAAAUGCGUAGAGAUCAAGAGGAAUACUGAUUGCGAAGGCGACCUGCUGGAACACUACUGACGCUGAUGCACGAAAGCGUGGGGAGCAAACAGGAUUAGAUACCCUUGUAGUC
rnacentral:rRNA from 1 species